rnacentral:rRNA from 1 species
CCUACGGGUGGCAGCAGUGGGGAAUACUGCGCAAUGGGCGAAAGCCUGACGCAGCGACGCCGCGUGCGGGAUGAAGGUCUUCGGAUCGUAAACCUCUGUCAGCAGGGAAGAACGGUCACUGUGCUAAUCAGCAGUGAAUUGACGGUACCUGCAAAGGAAGCACCGGCUAACUCCGUGCCAGCAGCCGCGGUAAUACGGAGGGUGCGAGCGUUAAUCGGAAUUACUGGGCGGAAAGCGCUCGUAGGCGGUAUGUCAAGUCAAGGGUGAAAUCCCCGCGCUCAACGUGGGAACUGCCUUUGAAACUGGCAAACUGGAGUGUGUGAGAGGAUAGUGGAAUGCCAGGUGUAGGAGUGAAAUGCGUAGAUAUCUGGAGGAACAUCAGUGGCGAAGGCGACUAUCUGGCACAUAACUGACGCUGAGGAGCGAAAGCGUGGGUAGCAAACAGGAUUAGAUACCCCAGUAGUC